GCGGGCAGCCGCCAGGGCGAGGCGACCCGGUGCGGGGGGACUCCCAUGGAGCGCGGACUCCUAAGGAAGUCGCUGGGAAUCCCACCGGCUGUACCGCAGGGCGUUAGUACCUAGAUGGCUUCGGUGCCCCCAAGCGAUGGGCUCAAGCUACAGGGCGGGCUUUGCACCUGGCCUUCUCAGCUCUGAGGCAGGCAGUGGGCAGCUUCGCCUCCACCCUCCGUCCAGCGCCCUUCCCAUGGGGCCAUCCGCCUCUCCCUAAGGCACUAAAAACCAGUGGAGGAGUCAGGCCAUGUUGGCAAAAAGGGCUCGGGCAGCAGCCCCAGACCUAUAGUCCUAAAUAUCCAUGUACCCAGCCCUGGGGUCGCGAGCCAUCUCAGGGACGACCCGAUUCCAGCGGAUGGAGAAGUUCCCUGAAAACACCUGCCUGGGAGGAGAGACGAGGGAACGAGAUUGGGUAACAGCUUGCAGCGUGAUAACACCAUGCAGUGUGAGGGAGCUGUAUGCAGUGGAGCCGCAGGGGUUAGUCAGGCCUCGCCCCUAAAUCUGCCUCUUAAAUAAGAGUCCGUUUCAGCCAAACCUGCCUUUUCCAGUUCCGUGGAGGUCAGUCUGCACAGCCAAUCCCUGACAGUGCUUUACCAUGGAACUGAAACCAUGAAAAGUGAAACUGCAAAUGGGAGAGACUGCUGUAUAGUCACUGAAAAAUUAAUGGAUGAGCUCAACAGCAAAUUAGACACAACUGAAACCUUGGACCCAUGUGUGGAAGAUGACAGCAUCACCAACUGGAGGGUGCCUGGAUCCCUGAGUCACCACUUGAAGCAAAAAG
rnacentral:lncRNA from 10 species